rnacentral:rRNA from 1 species
CCAGCCUGCCCAGUGACUUUGUUCAACGGCCGCGGUAUCCUAACCGUGCGAAGGUAGCGUAAUCACUUGUUCUUUAAAUGAGGACUAGUAUGAAUGGCACCACGAAGGUUAUACUGUCUCCUUUAUCUAAUCAGUGAAACUAAUCUUCCCGUGAAGAAGCGGGAAUAAACAUAUAAGACGAGAAGACCCUAUGGAGCUUUAAACAAGUAUACAACUGCCUUUCCUAUUUUAAAAUUUCAGAAAACAAACCAUUAUUUAGGCAUUUUGGUAUAAAGUUUUAGGUUGGGGUGACCACGGAGAAAAAUGUAACCUCCGCAAUGAACGGGGCUUCCCCCUUAACUAAGAGCUACGACCCUAAGAAUCAAUAAAUUGACAUCAAUUGACCCAAUAAAUUUGAUCAAUGAACCAAGUUACCCUAGGGAUAACAGCGCAAUCCACUUCAAGAGCCCCUAUCGACAAGUGGGUUUACGACCUCGAUGUUGGAUCAGGGUAUCCUAGUGGUGCAGCCGCUACUAACGGUUCGUUUGUUCAACGAUUAAAACCCU